rnacentral:snoRNA from 1 species
UAUUAAGGAUGACCUUAUCCCGAACCUGAUUCCUGUAAGAUUGACAACCCUGUCGGAUCUGACUUCUGAAAU